CAAGUCGAACGAGAAAGGGGAGCAAUCCCUGAGUACAGUGGCGCACGGGUGAGUAACACGUGGAUGAUCUAUCUCUUAGUGGGGAAUAACCCUGGGAAACCGGGGAUAAUACCGCAUAAGCUCGAGAGAGGAAAGCAGCAAUGCGCUGAGAGAGGAGUCCGCGGCCGAUUAGCUAGUUGGGAGGGUAAAAGCCUACCAAGGCAGAGAUCGGUAGCCGGCCUGAGAGGGCACACGGCCACACUGGCACUGAAACACGGGCCAGACUCCUACGGGAGGCAGCAGUGGGGAAUCUUGCACAAUGGGGGAAACCCUGAUGCAGCGACGCCGCGUGAGCGAUGAAGCCCUUCGGGGUGUAAAGCUCUUUCGGCAGGGAAGAUGAUGACGGUACCUGCAGAAGCAGCUGCGGCUAACUACGUGCCAGCAGCCGCGGUAAUACGUAGGCAGCGAGCGUUGUUCGGAGUUACUGGGCGUAAAGGGUGUGUAGGCGGUUGUUUAAGUUUGGUGUGAAAUCUCCCGGCUCAACUGGGAGGGUGCGCCGAAUACUGAAUGACUUGGAGUGCGGGAGAGGAGAGUGGAAUUCCUGGUGUAGCGGUGAAAUGCGUAGAUAUCAGGAGGAACACCGGUGGUGUAGACGGCUCUCUGGACCGUAACUGACGCUGAGACACGAAAGCGUGGGUAGCAAACAGGAUUAGAUACCCUGGUAGUCCACGCCCUAAACGAUGCAUAUUUGGUGUGGGCAGUUCAUUCUGUCCGUGCCGGAGCUAACGCGUUAAAUAUGCCGCCUGGGGAGUACAGUCGCAAGGCUGAAACUCAAAGGAAUUGACGGGGGCCC
rnacentral:rRNA from 1 species